rnacentral:rRNA from 1 species
AUUGAACGCUGGCGGCACGCCUAACACAUGCAAGUCGAGCGGUAACAUGGUCAGUAGCAAUACUGACUGAUGACGAGCGGCGGACGGGUGAGGAACACGUAGGAACCUGCCCUCAAGCGGGGGACAACCAAGGGAAACUUUGGCUAAUACCGCAUGAACUCGAGAGAGCAAAGCUGCCCGCAAGGGUGGCACUUGAGGAGGGGCCUGCGUACGAUUAGGUAGUUGGUGAGGUAAAGGCUCACCAAGGCGAUGAUCGGUAACUGGUCUGAGAGGACGACCAGUCGCACUGGGACUGAGACACGGACCAGACUCGUACGGGGGGCAGCAGUGGGGAAUCUUGGACAAUGGGGGCAACCCUGAUCCAGCGAUGCCGCGUGAGUGAAGAAGGCCCUCGGGUCGUAAAGCUCUUUAGGUUGGGAAGAAGUGCACGGGCUGAAUAAUCCCGUGUGUUGACGGUACCGACAGAAUAAGCACCGGCAAACUCUGAGCCAGCCGCCGCUGUAACAC